rnacentral:rRNA from 1 species
UACGUAGGGUGCAAGCGUUGUCCGGAAUUAUUGGGCGUAAAGAGCUCGUAGGCGGUUUGUCGCGUCUGCUGUGAAAACGCGAGGCUCAACCUCGCGCCUGCAGUGGGUACGGGCAGACUGGAGUGCGGUAGGGGAGAUUGGAAUUCCUGGUGUAGCGGUGGAAUGCGCAGAUAUCAGGAGGAACACCGAUGGCGAAGGCAGAUCUCUGGGCCGUAACUGACGCUGAGGAGCGAAAGCGUGGGGAGUGAACAGG